rnacentral:rRNA from 1 species
AAGCUCCUUCGGGGGUGGAUAUAGUGGCGAACGGGUGAGUAACACGUGGGCAAUCUGCCCUGUACUUCGGGACAAGCCCUGGAAACGGGGUCUAAUACCGGAUGGGACUGCCGGCCGCAUGGUCUGGUGGUGGAAAGCUUCGGCGGUACAGGAUGAGCCCGCGGCCUAUCAGCUUGUUGGUGGGGUGAUGGCCUACCAAGGCGACGACGGGUAGCCGGCCUGAGAGGGCGACCGGCCACACUGGGACUGAGACACGGCCCAGACUCCUACGGGAGGCAGCAGUGGGGAAUAUUGCACAAUGGGCGGAAGCCUGAUGCAGCGACGCCGCGUGAGGGAUGACGGCCUUCGGGUUGUAAACCUCUUUCAGCAGGGAAGAAGCCUUUAAAGUGACGGUACCUGCAGAAGAAGCACCGGCUAACUACGUGCCAGCAGCCGCGGUAAUACGUAGGGUGCGAGCGUUGUCCGGAAUUAUUGGGCGUAAAGAGCUCGUAGGCGGCCUGUCGCGUCGGAUGUGAAAGCCCGGGGCUUAACCCUGGGUCUGCAUUCGAUACGGGCAGGCUGGAGUUCGGUAGGGGAGAUCGGAAUUCCUGGUGUAGCGGUGAAAUGCGCAGAUAUCAGGAGGAACACCGGUGGCGAAGGCGGAUCUCUGGGCCGAUACUGACGCUGAGGAGCGAAAGCAUGGGGAGCGAACAGGAUUAGAUACCCUGGUAGUCCAUGCCGUAAACGUUGGGCACUAGGUGUGGGCGACAUUCCACGUUGUCCGUGCCGCAGCUAACGCAUUAAGUGCCCCGCCUGGGGAGUACGGCCGCAAGGCUAAAACUCAAAGGAAUUGAC